GCCGGCUUAGCUCAGCGGUAGAGCAGCGGUUUUGUAAACCGAAGGUCGGGGGUUCAAUCCCCUCAGCCGGCACCG
rnacentral:tRNA from 2 species